rnacentral:rRNA from 1 species
AGUCAACAUAACCAAAGGACGUGGAUAAACUCGGGAAACUGAGGCUAAACCGCGAUAGAUCAAGAUACCUGGAAUGGUUUUUGAUCAAAAUCUAUAUGGCCUUUGGAUUGGACUGCGUCCGAUCAGGCUGUUGGUGAGGUAAUGGCCCACCAAACCUGUAACCGGUACGGGCUCUGAGAGGAGGAGCCCGGAGAUGGGUACUGAGACAAGGGCCCAGGCCCUAUGGGGCGCAGCAGGCGCGAAACCUCUGCAAUAGGCGAAAGCUUGACAGGGUUACUCUGAGUGAUUUCCGUUAAGGAGAUCUUUUGGCACCUCUAAAAAUGGUGCAGAAUAAGGGGUGGGCAAGUCUGGU